UCAGGAAUGGUUCCUUCUUUUUCUUCUGUGGAAGCAUAAGGAGAUUUUUCUCUGAUUGUUACUGUGAGGACAUCGUUGAUCUUCUGGUGGUAAAUCUCUCUAUAUCAUGGGUGCCUUCCUAUGAUUGGGUCUCUGUGGAGUUCUUAAUUCUCAGAGUUGUCUGAACCAAGUCUUCAGCAAUUUGUGAAUUAUAGGUCAGAUUUUUGUUUCUGUAAAGAUUUCUGCUCACAAGUUUCUUCUCUGGUGCAUCAUAUCAUCAGCAGCUGAGUUUUUAUAAACAUCUUAAAUAGUGUGAUUUACCAAUUUUGAGAAAAAUGGAAAAUACUUUCUAUCUCAGACUGAGAGAGUGAUCCCUUGGAACCGGCCAGUUGCUGUGACAGAGGAAAGCAAGAGCAUGGUGAAUAAUGUACUACUAUACACCCAGACUGCCAUUUGUCCCAUUUCAUUUGCUGAGAUGGAAAAAAGAAGACCAAGAAGAAAAAGGUCUGAGAAGGUGAAGCAAGCCAUCCAAGAUGACAGUGAUGAACUACCUACCCUUUUGUGGAAAUAACAAUGAAUAAUGAAAUGCCACAGUACUGACAGAAGGAAGAAAAGCAAAGAAGCCACAGUUGUGAAAGAAGCUCUUUGUAUUCUGGGUAAGUAAUAAUUAUUUGACUAUAAUUAAUGUUGUUUUUGAUACCUUGAAAAAAAACAGACUCUAGUAGAUAUAUUAUCCUUUGUAACAGAUUGUUAUGAACAAUAUAGCACAGUCCUAUAUAUUUUUCUGAAUUUGAAGAUGAUUUAUUUUUGAUCACUGGCAUGUGGUUGUGUAUAUAGAUGUCCAAAACAAGUGAAGCAAUCAGUCCAUCAAUUGGUUAUUUUGUUUACAUGAAAUCAGAAUAGUUAGCUUGACUGAUUCUCCCCUCCUUGGAUGUUUGGGCAUUAAAUAUGUAACCCAGAUGUCAGCUGGGGCCACCUCGUCUUCCUUGAGAUUGAGGUAAGAAUGCCUUGAAUCUUGAUACAUACUUGUGGAAGGAGGAAACACUUUUCAAAUGUCAGGGAAAUCCAGGUAGCUUGAAUUCUUAAUGAUUACUCUUCCUCUAGCCUGUGUCUGGGUUUCUAUGUUUCCUCUUAUCCACUCCAUCAUUCCAGAUUCACACUCUAAAUUAUUUUUUCCAUAAUAUAAAAAUGUAGCCCAUGUAAAUGAAAUAUUCGUGAGUAUAGAGAACUUUUUGGAGGAUUGAGACAAGGGUACAGAAGUGUUUAUGCUACUGCAGAAAGAAUGACCCUAACCUACCUAGUUAUUCUCUGUUUUGGGUCUCUUUUUUAUUUGCUUCAUGGCACUUAUCACUCCUUGAGGUUAUGCACAUGUAUGUGUCUGUGUGUGUGUCUCUCCCCCACUAGAACGUUAACUUUAAGAGAGCAGUGGCUUUAUCUGUUUUGUUUGUUGGUAUAACUUCAGUGCCUAAUAGUCAGCACUCAAGGAAUGCAUAAGUGAACAAAUGAAGGAAUGAAUAAGUUAAGGGAGCCACAUGUGCUUCCUGGGUUUUAUCUUCUAUAAUCCAGGAGUUUAUCAAGAAUAGUCUUUUUCCUAAGAGGGAUUCAUGGGUCAAUUGUUAAAUAUCGCACUUAUUUUGAGUAUUUAUUUAAUUUAUAUCAUGUAAUUUAAACAGGAUUCAAAAUUUAGACCAAGUAUUAAUAAAUUUGCUGGAAUAAAAAUAAGCAUAAUUCAAAAAACUGAAACAUCACAAGAUGCUCUACAUAUGCAUUAUUUUAAGUAAUCCUCCCAAUAAACAUAGGAGAUGGUCCUACUGCCAUAUUUAUCAUAUUAUAUUACAACUGACUUCAGAUUCUCAGAGGAUUCAUAUUCUCAUGUAUCUCUACAGAUUUUCUUUAUUUAACAGCUCAUGUUUUAUGAAUUUCUCUCAUAGAAGGAAAGAAAAUGACAAGGUCUACUAAAUUUUUGAGCAGAAAUAGUAAGAUGUAGUCGAUUGAGUUAUAGAUGUAUAUUAAGAGGCAAAGGUUCUGUUUUUCUCAGCACAUCUACAUCCAUUUCAUAGAAUCAUUGAAAUAAACCAAUUUCAGUGUUCUAUUGGUGGUGAUUACCAGUGUGCUUUGGGAAUAGUUUAUAGCCAUGGAACAGAUGGAAAAAAAAAUUUUAAGGACGACUUACGGAGCUGAAUGCUCCAGGUGAGACUACCAGCCUCUCCAUCGUUCUCCAACCCACAACACUGCCAGUAUCACCAUUUUAACUGUAGUCAGGAACAAAAUUCAAUAAAUAAUGCAUAAGUAGAAUCAAAUAGCCACCUUGCCCUCUGAAUAAAUCACAUUACAUCUUUCAUCCCUUUCUCCCCUCAGUUUACAUCAGAAACAUAAGCCUCCAAAGCCUUCCAUCAUCAUACAGCAUUUUAGCUUUCUAUAUUCUCUAAUCUGACCAAAUCAUAUUAUUCCAGGUAUUGGUGUCUCUAUUAGUGUUGACUUAGACCUCCUUUUCAUAAGCAUGAAUGUCUUUUGUCUCAGUUAUGUUAGAUCCUAAUACUCUCUUAGAUUUAAGUUCCACCAUGUUCUCUUCCAACUAGUCCUGAGAAUAAUCAAGAUAGAAUGGACUAAACAAAGACUUGGGAAGAUGAGUCCAUUAGGAGAGGUCUGCUAAGGGGAGAAAAGAUUUUAUUGCAGAGAAUAGUCAAAAUAUAGAAUUAAAGAGAUAUAGUGGACUUAUAUUAAAAAUAAAUUUCCUUUAAGUAGUUUGGACUGUAUUUUCAAGCCAGAUUUUAAGCAGGGGUGUAUGGUUUAUGGUCACCCUGGUAACAGCAUGGGAGCUGGGCAACAGCCUCAGUUUUAAAACUAUUCAGUAGAACCAAAGAGUUCAUUGGAAGUGCUAAGUGCAAUCUUCAAGCAUUUAAUCCAAAUGCAUUUUUUUUGAAAAUUGUUUUUUUUACAGAAUAAAAUACAUAUAUUUAAACGCAAUUACAUUCAUACAGAUUAUUAUAUCAUGGAUCUUAAGAAGCAGAU